GCUCUGGGAAAAGUGUAUAUGGUACAAGAUGGUAAAAAGUCCCCAUAGGUAGGAAAUAAACUUCAUUUUUGCACACAGGGAGCUGAAGAUAGAAGUCUGUCCAUCUGGGU